rnacentral:rRNA from 1 species
UACGGAGGGUGCAAGCGUUAUCCGGAUUCACUGGGUUUAAAGGGUGCGUAGGUGGGCAAGUAAGUCAGUGGUGAAAUCUCCGGGCUUAACCCGGAAACUGCCAUUGAUACUAUUUGUCUUGAAUACUGUGGAGGUCAGCGGAAUAUGUCAUGUAGCGGUGAAAUGCUUAGAUAUGACAUAGAACACCAAUUGCGAAGGCAGCUGGCUACACAAAUAUUGACACUGAGGCGCGACAGCGUGGGGAGCAAACAGG